rnacentral:rRNA from 1 species
GACGAACGCUGGCGGCGUGCUUAACACAUGCAAGUCGAACGGAAAGGCCCUGCUUUUGUGGGGUGCUCGAGUGGCGAACGGGUGAGUAACACGUGAGUAACCUGCCCUUGACUUUGGGAUAACUUCAGGAAACUGGGGCUAAUACCGGAUAGGAGCUCCUGCUGCAUGGUGGGGGUUGGAAAGAUUCGGCGGUUGGGGAUGGACUCGCGGCUUAUCAGCUUGUUGGUGGGGUAGUGGCUUACCAAGGCUUUGACGGGUAGCCGGCCUGAGAGGGUGACCGGCCACAUUGGGACUGCGAUACGGCCCAGACUCCUACGGGCGGCAGCAGUGGGGAAUAUUGCACAAUGGGCGGAAGCCUGAUGCAGCAACGCCGCGUGCGGGAUGACGGCCUUCGGGUUGUAAACCGCUUUCGCCUGUGACGAAGCGUGAGUGACGGUAAUGGGUAAAGAAGCACCGGCUAACUACGUG